UGAGACAGUUCGGUCCCUAUCUGCCGUGGGCGUUUGAGAGUUGAGAGGAGCUGCUCCUAGUACGAGAGGACCGGAGUGGACGAACCGCUGGUGUUCGGGUUGUCAUGCCAAUGGCACUGCCCGGUAGCUACGUUCGGAAUCGAUAACCGCUGAAAGCAUCUAAGCGGGAAGCGAGCCUCGAGAUAAGCUCUCACUAGCACUUAGAGUGCUCUGAAGGGUUGUUGAAGACGACAACGUUGAUAGGCGGGGUGUGGAAGCGUAGUAAUGCGUUGAGCUAACCCGUACUAAUUGCCCGUGAGACUUAACCAU
rnacentral:rRNA from 1 species